GACGAACGCUGGCGGCGUGCUUAACACAUGCAAGUCGAACGGAAAGGCCUCUUUCGGGGGGUACUCGAGUGGCGAACGGGUGAGUAACACGUGAGUAACCUGCCCUUGACUUUGGGAUAACUUCAGGAAACUGGGGCUAAUACCGGAUAGGAGCUCCUGCUGCAUGGUGGGGGUUGGAAAGUUUCGGCGGUUGGGGAUGGACUCGCGGCUUAUCAGCUUGUUGGUGGGGUAGUGGCUUACCAAGGCUUUGACGGGUGGCCGGCAUGAGAGGGUGACCGGCCACAUUGGGACUGAGAUACGGCCCAGACUCCUACGGGAGGCAGCAGUGGGGAAUAUUGCACAAUGGGUGGAAGCCUGAUGCAGCAACGCCGUGUGCGGGAUGACGGCCUUCGGGUUGUAAACCGCUUUCGCUCAUGACGAAGCUUUGUGUGACGGUAGUGGGUAAAGAAGCACCGGCUAACUACGUG
rnacentral:rRNA from 1 species